UGUUCUUGAUUGCUAGAUACGAAACUAUAUUUUUAGUUGUUUUUCAAAACUUCGAUACCUUUGAGUACCACUGGCACUAGCUAAAAUAUAAUUUUUGGUAUAGAGAAUAGUAUUUGGGCCAUUCUGACAGGAAUAUAAUCCAAUAACGGAUGUCUCUCAAAGCAAUUCUCAACAAGGCACAGUUCUAUGAGGUGACUCAUCACCUAAAUAAUAAU